rnacentral:rRNA from 1 species
GACGAACGCUGGCGGCGUGCUUAACACAUGCAAGUCGAACGGUAAGGCGCUUUCGGGCGUACACGAGUGGCGAACGGGUGAGUAACACGUGAGGAACGUGCCCUUGACUUUGGUAUAGCACUUGGAAACAGGUGGUAAUCCCGAAUAUUCAGUUUCCCGGGCAUCCGGGUUGUUGGAAAGCUUUUUGCGGUCAGGGAUCGUUUCGCGGCCUAUCAGCUUGUUGGUGGGGUAGUGGCCCACCAAGGCCUUGACGGGUAGCCGGCCUGAGAGGGCGACCGGCCACAUUGGGACUGAGAUACGACCCAGACUCCUACGGGAGGCAGCAGUGGGGGAAAUAUUUGCACAAUGGGCGGGAAAG